UAAAAUUUAAUUUUUCCCGUGUACUAAAUUUGUAUAAUUUGGAGUCUCUAAGGAUUUCCUAAAAAUAGCAAAAGGACACAGUAGCGGUUCAGCCUCAACUUACCAGGUUUUAAUGCAGCUAGGCAGCCACAAGCACCAGGCUUGUUUAGGCACCACAUUUUAGACGGACUUUAAAAGGGUUUUAGAAAAGAAAACCAAGGAGGAUAAGGAUUAGUCAGAGGAAGGCACAAAAAUGCAAAAAGAUAACAGCCAAUUCCUGGAUGGGUCUACUCUUAAUCUCCACAUGUUUUCAUUUAGAAGAAUGCCAGUAUCAGAAAGUAGGACAGUUUUGUUGUAAAUGAUUGGUGGAAACAUAACCUACUCAUCCGCCUGGAUAGUAGGAAGUGUCAAAGGAAAAGCUUAUGCUCAUUCUACAAGGGAAUCACAAGGAAAUCAGGAGAUGUGCGCAAAGGCUUUUUAUGGAGUAAAAUAAUUGUAGCAACUACAGCAUGACCUGAUUAAAUUCCAUAAAAUUUUAGAGAGUUGCCAACCUCCAAUACUAGAUUUUAUGUGACUUGUAUUCCCUAUCAAGACAUUUAAAGAACUGCAACAAUUAAAACAUUGUCAUUAAAACAAUUUAUGAAACCACACAUUGCAAAAGUGAAUCAUGGAGCAUUCACUAAAAGUGAAUCAUGGAGCAUUCACUAAAAGUAAAUUAUGGAGCAGAAGUUUAUAACAGAAAUAUUCCGUGGUCAAACCUUUUCAAGCGGAUAUGCUGUUUUGCCACAAGU
rnacentral:lncRNA from 1 species